rnacentral:RNase_P_RNA from 1 species
GCGGCCGGGCGCCCCACUCACGCCCCGAGAGGGGUGAGGAAACUCCGCACACCCCGUGGCAGUGCGGCCCCGUAAGGGGCACGGGUAGUCCCCGUGGCUCCGGCACAGAAACGGUACGGCCAUUACUGGAUGGCUAUGAUGUGGCCAACCCUCGGCGACGAGGGUUAAUCCACGGAGGACGGUAGUGGAGGCGUUGAAACGGCCGUCCCGCACGGUGCAAGGCCCUGGCCCGGUGUGAGGGCCACGCGACCGGUAUGGGCCGCAUAGACGAAUGUGGGGUUGAACAGAAUGCGGGUUACCGCCCGGCCGC